rnacentral:rRNA from 1 species
UACGGGGGGAGCAAGCGUUGUUCGGAUUUACUGGGCGUAAAGGGCGCGUAGGCGGUCAGCACAAGUCAGUUGUGAAAUCUCCGGGCUUAACCCGGAAAGGUCAACUGAUACUGUGCGACUAGAGUGCGGAAGGGGCAACUGGAAUUCUCGGUGUAGCGGUGAAAUGCGUAGAUAUCGAGAGGAACACCUGCGGCGAAGGCGGGUUGCUGGGCCGACACUGACGCUGAUACGCGAAAGCCAGGGGAGCGAACGGG